UUGCAGGGAGUGACCAAAUUAACCAUGAAGGGUCCAAGAAUGAUUUCAAAGCGAAAGCAAGUACUAAAAGGCAUAUUACAGGGUGGUUUAGAACACACCAUAGCAAGAUCAGAGUUACCGCAACCAUAACCGAAGUUGCCGCACAACUGAUUAAAUCUUCCUUGAACAGCUUAAACUUCAUCCGCAUCCACUUCUGUCGACUCGAAUAGUCUACUUUCCUUACCUUGGCUUCACCAUCUUCCUCGUUAUAACGAGAGAUUAGCAAACCCGGUAUUCUAGUAUCGAACUCGGGUCCUUGCGGUUCCUACACUCUCCGUAUAUUUCCUCUGCUCCUUGUACAUCGUCAAGCUUAAAGAGCUUCUCCAAUAGAUUUGCAGUUGGGCUAAUAUCAAACAGCAGUAGUAAUAACUUACACGAUGUAUAUAUCACAUGGCUUGGAAAGUGAAAGCACAACAUCACACCACUCAAUAUUAAUAAUCAUUCUAAAUUUCUAAUAUUAAAUAGAUUAUCAAACAUGUUGUUUCUAUAAAACAUUUAUUCAAUUAUGAUGUUAUGUCAAAUCAUUGUCGGAAUUAGAUAAAGAUAUUAUAAGAUGCUUAUCAUGAAGCAAAAAUGUGGGCGUAAAAAAAAAACAGGCCCUGAGUAGGCGCAUUGUCUUUGUCCUUCAUGCCUUAAAUUGGGAGACUCUCAUGAAACGUGACGUUAAAGAACUUUUGGGGAACAUCAAAGGAACUGAGUGGCUGUGAAUAUGCAAUGUAGCAAAAGCUUUCCUUGCAAAGAUAUUAUAUUCAGCUGAUUGACAUCAACUUAACACACAAAUACACAAUGGACCUAGCGGUCUAGCCACCGCGUUGUGUAAGAACGUUAAAGGUUCUGCUCGUGGUAAUUAGAUGGUUCUUCUGAGUUGCUUGAUGUGAUACUGUCGUUUGUUGUAUUUGAUAUAUAUCUUCAUUAUUGGUGUAAACGUAACAUCUGUAAUUCCUUGUAAACUGUGGAUUUCAAGAUAGUGAAGAUUUAUGGACUAAAGUACCACACGA